GCGCCCUUAGCUCAGUGGUAGAGCACAGCAUUCACAUUGCUGGGGUCGUAGGUU
rnacentral:tRNA from 1 species